AACUUUUGGCAAUGGAUCUCUUGGUUCCCGCAUCGAUGAAGAACGCAGCGAAAUGCGAUAAGUGAUGUGAAUUGCAGAAUUCAGUGAAUCAUCGAAUCUUUGAACGCGCAUUGCGCCCCCCGGUAUUCCGGAGGGCAUGCCUGUUCGAGCCUCAAUAAAACCUCUCCCCGGUGGGCCACUCUGCAGAGAGGGGCCCUUCCUUUGGGGGUCAUGGUGGACCCGCCGGCCUUCAAAAGCCGUCUGGCCACUCAAAUUCUUGGUCUGCAGGCCACGAGGGGUUGCACCUCGACGUAGUGAUCGUUUUCAUCGUCGGAAGGCACCCUCAUGUUCCUGGGACCUUAAGCGUCCGUCUUGGAUGCCCACCCCCAAAUCAGUUGAGCUCGGAUCAGGUAGGGAUACCCGCUGAACUUAAGCAUAUCAAUAAGCGGAGGCU
rnacentral:misc_RNA from 1 species